CUGGCUCAGGAGUGAACGCUAGCGACAGGCUUAACACAUGCAAGUCGAGGGCAUCACGGGAGUAACAAUACAACUGGUGGCGACCGGCGCACGGGUGAGUAACGCGUAUGCAACCUACCUAUCAGAGGGGAAUAACCCGGCGAAAGUCGGACUAAUACCGCAUAAACAGGGGCACCGCAUGGUGAUAUUUGUUAAGAAUUCGCUGAUAGAUGGGCAUGCGUUCCAUUAGGUAGUUGGUGAGGUAACGGCUCACCAAGCCGACGAUGGAUAGGGGAACUGAGAGGUUGGUCCCCCACACUGGUACUGAGACACGGACCAGACUCCUACGGGAGGCAGCAGUGAGGAAUAUUGGUCAAUGGGCGGGAGCCUGAACCAGCCAAGUCGCGUGAAGGAAGAAGGAUCUAUGGUUCGUAAACUUCUUUUGCAGGGGAAUAAAGUGCAGGACGUGUCCUGUUUUGUAUGUACCCUGAGAAUAAGGAUCGGCUAACUCCGUGCCAGCCGCCGC
rnacentral:rRNA from 1 species